CAAGCAUUGUGGUGUCCACUCCAGCUUUCUACAUUGGCAAGAAACCAAGAAAGAAACAAAGAAAAAAGCCAGAUUGGUGAGUUUUUAAGCUUUUGAAGGUCAAACCAAGUAUCAGGUGUGAAUCUUUUCAUGUCAAUUUAGAUAAGUAAGAUUGUACGGUGGGAAAGAAAACCACUGUUUCCAUUAUAUAUAUAUAUAUA
rnacentral:misc_RNA from 1 species